AUGGAUCCGUCCAACGCCAACGCCAAUCCGAAGCCCCCGGCCGGCGCCAAUGGCGACGUCGUCCUCAUCAUGCCGCCCGAGCAGCCGCAGCAGCAGCGGGCCACGGCGGCCGACGCGCCCAAAACCCCGCCAAACCCCGAGAAGCCGCCGCCGCCGACGCCGACCUCGGCGGCGGCCCCGCCGCGCCCGCAUCUGCCGAACCCCGAGAAGCCGCCGCAGAGCCCCGCGCGGCCGCCCCUGGCCCCCGCCCAGGGCGCGCUGCUCCGCCGCCGCUCCUCGCUCUCCAAGCCCAAAUCCCGCUUCGUGGAGCCGCCGACCCCUACCGCCCCCUCCUCCCACCCGUCCCCGGCGCACCCGGCCUCCACCGCCCAGACCCCGCGCCCCGCCUCCACCCCGCAGACCCCGGGCGAGGGCGACGACGACGACGACGUCUUCCGCAAGGGCGGCGCGCCCACCGCCGCCACGGCGGCCAAGUGCCGCCGCAGGGCCUGCAUCUCGCUCGAGCUCGCCGUGCUCGUCCUCUUCCUCGCGCUGCUCGUCGUCAGCCUCGUGGCGCGCCCGCUCAAGGGCCACUUCGUGUGGGGGCUGGAGAUCUGGAAGUGGUGCGUCAUGGUCAUCACCGUCUUCUCCGGCCACCUCGUCAGCCACUGGGUCAUCGCCUUCGUCGUCUUCCUCAUCGAGCGCAACUUCCUGCUCCGCAACAAGGUGCUCUACUUCGUCUUCGGGCUCAAGAACAGCGUGCAGGCCUGCCUCUGGAUCGGUCUCGUGCUCAUCGCCUGGUCUCAGCUCUUCGACCAGGAGCAGCUGGGCCGCACGGCCAAGACCGCCAGGAUCCUCAACUACGUCUCCAGAUUCCUCGCCUCCGUGCUCAUCGCGUCAGUCAUCUGGGUGGUCAAGACAUUCAUCAUGAAGGCCAUCGCGUCCACCUUCCACCGGAAGGCCUUCUUUGACCGGAUCCAGGAGAGCCUGUUCCACCAGUACGUGCUGCAGACGCUCUCGGGCCCUCCAUUGAUGGAGCUAGCGGAGAAUGUUGGGCGGGAGCCAAGUGGGCGUGUGAGCUUGAGCAGGACGAAGGAUGAUAAAGGAACGCCCAAGGUGAUCGAUGCCGUGAAACUGAGGAAGAUGAAGCAGGAGAGGAUCUCAGCUUGGACGAUGAAAGGGCUCAUCACGGCAAUCCGAAGCUCAAGGCUUUCAACAAUAUCUCAAAGUAUUGAGAGCUUUCAUGAGUUUGAUGAAACGGAGCAAAAAGAUAAGGAGAUAAAUAGCGAGUGGGAGGCAAAGGCAGCAGCCGAUGCCAUUUUCAAAAAUGUUGCAAGGCAGGGCUACAAGCACAUUGAGGAGCUGGAUUUGCUGAGAUUUUUCAACAGGGAGGAGGCAGCCUUGGUGCUUCCGAUGUUUGAAGGGGCAUCAGAGACGGGGAAGAUAAAAAGAUCUGCUCUGAAAAAUUGGGUGGUAAGUGCAUACCUGGACCGCAAGUCACUAGCGCAUUCUCUGAAUGACACAAAAACCGCAGUCAGCCAACUUCACAGCCUCAUCAGAAUUCUAGUACUCAUUAUAAUCAUCAUUAUCACUCUGUUGUUGAUGGGCAUCGCCACGACCAAGAUCCUUGUUGUCAUCUCAUCCCAGCUUCUUGUUGUGGUCUUCAUAUUUGGAAAUGCCUGCAAGACUGUAUUUGAGGCCCUCAUAUUUGUUUUCAUCAUGCAUCCGUUUGAUGUUGGGGACCGCUGUGUCAUCGAUGGAAUACAGAUGGUUGUCGAAGAAAUGAAUAUAUUAACCACUGUUUUCCUGAAGAAUGACAAUGAGAAGGUAUAUUAUCCAAACUCUGCAUUGUCCACAAUGCCAAUCAGCAACUUCUACCGAAGCCCUGACAUGUACGACACCAUCGACUUCGCUAUUGAUGUUAAAACUUCAAUGGAGAGCAUCGCAGCUUUGAAAUCCAGAAUUAAAGGGUACUUGGAGAGCAAACCUACACGGUGGCACCCUAUCCACACGGUAAACCUGAAGGACAUCUUGGACGUGAACAAGAUCAACAUGGCCCUGUGCGCCCAGCACACGAUGAACUUCCAGAAUAUCCGGGAGAAGAGCAUCAGGAGGUCCGAGCUUGUGAUGGAGCUGAAGAAGAUAUUCGAGGAGAUGUCCAUCAGCUACCAGCUUCUGCCUCAAAAGGUCGAGCUUAGCUAUGUCGGCACAAACCCGCUGCCCGUGAAUGUUUCUCAAGGCAGGUAG
rnacentral:rRNA from 1 species